UAAAAAAAAAAAAAAAAGCAAGAUUGAGUAGUCCUGCCACGACAAAGUAGACAAGAGACUAGCGUAUUAAAAGGCCAACUUUAUGUACAUAAUACUUUUUUCUUAAUGAAUCCAAGUCAUUUUAGGUCUUCAUUUUAGAUACUGAAUAGGCCUCAAGUUCUGCUGCGACAUCUUGGUGGUAGGUCCAACUUAGGCUGUUGUUAGUGGCAUUAUGAUGUUUUGAAUAUUUUCCUGGGACACUUUAGUACUACCACCCGAGCAUCAACACGCAAUUAAUGCCACAGUUAACUUGAGUAUUGUUGAUAAUCACCAUUAUUAUGACCUCCGUGCACUACUCACCUCGAGAUCGGUACUUCCGGCAGGACAAGAAACGGACCGCGGCAGAAAGCUCAAACCAUCUCUAACUUGUUUCUUCAACAUUACAAUGAGUGGUAUGCCAGGUCUCAGUCCAACAAAAAACAGAAUAAAAUCAUCUGCAGCAACUGAAAGACACCAUGGACUAUUAUACCAAGAUUUUAGAUGUCAGGCAGUUCUGAAGGCAAAAUAAGGUCCAACUUGGUACUACAAAGUUGCAGGUGAGCCACUGUAAAUAAUGUUACUGUCCCUUAGUUAGAGGCACUACAAAUAACUGUUCCCUUCUGUUUUCAAAAAGUGAUUAAUGAUGUUUUAAAUAUUGGUAUAAGUUCUUUAGAACUGUGGCAUUUUUAUUUUACCAAAGGCAACAAUACCGUGAGAAUUACGUCCCUACACAUAAAUUUGUACACUUUGUGUUAUAUCAGCUCUAGUUUCCAAGGAGAUCUUUGAUGUAAAAUGCAUCAGCUUUUUAUUUAUUCUAUUGUAGGCAUGCAGGAACAAAAUGUGAAAAUAGAAAAGAGGCUGGAUUGAGCUGCCAUCUUUUUGGUUUCAUAGUUGACAACCUGUGUAAAUGACUUUGUUGGUGUUUAUUCGUUUCCUCAUUUGGCCAAGAGUUAUUUGUUGCCUUUGCGGCCGAUGCUUUUGUUUUGACGGGGCUUUGAGAGGCAGGGUUGCUAGGUGACUGACACGGGAGCUGCAGACUAACUGACAAUUAACUGUUUUGGACAUAGGGCAGAGAGUAAGAGAGUGUACUAGUCACAGUUAAAGGGAGAUAACUAAGGAAUAGUCCAACUAAGGUCUAAACAAUUAAUUAGUUAGCGCUUGGUUGAUGAGGGAACAAACUCUUACGGUGUGUUCAUGUACAAAGGCUGUUGAAUAAAGAAACGUGAACCAUCA